rnacentral:rRNA from 1 species
UACGUAGGGGGCAAGCGUUGUCCGGAUUUAUUGGGCGUAAAGAGCGUGUAGGCGGCCAGGUAGGUCGGUUGUGAAAACUGGAGGCUCAACCUUCAGACGUCGACCGAAACCAUCUGGCUAGAGCCCGGGAGAGGAGAGUGGAAUUCCUGGUGUAGCGGUGAAAUGCGCAGAUAUCAGGAAGAACACCCGUGGCGAAAGCGGCUCUCUGGAACGGUACUGACGCUGAGACGCGAAAGCGUGGGGAGCGAACAGG